UUUGAUUAUGGCUCAGAUUGAACGCUGGCAGGAUGCGCUACACGCGCAAGUCGAACGGCAGCACGGACUUCGGUCUGGUGGCGGUAGCGAACAGGUGAGUAAUGUAUCCCGGAACGUGCCUAAUGUGCGAGGAUAACCUGCGCGAAAGCAUGCUAAUACCACCUUGCGCCCUUCCGGGAAGCGGGGACCUUCGGGCCUCGCACCUAUCAGGCGGCCGAUAUCAGUUAGCUGGUUGGCGGUGGGGUAACGCUCUACCAAGGCGACGAUCCGUAGCUGGUUUUGAAGGACUGACCAGCCACACUGGGACGGGCGACCCAGACCUGCAGGAGGCAGCAGUGGGAAUUUCCUGGACAAUGGGGAAACCUGAUGCAGCCAUCCCGCGUGUGCGAUGAAGGCCUUCCCGGGUUGUAAAGCACUUUUGGCAGGAAAGAAACGGCACGGGAUAAUGCCCGAUACAACUGACGGUACACUUGCAGAAUACUGCUUCACCGGCUAACCAUGCCGGCAGCCGCGGUAGCCGUAGGGUGCAAGCGUUAAUCGGAAUUACUGGGCGUAAAGCGUGCGCAGGCGGUUCGGAAAGAAAAGAUCUUAAAAUCCAGAGCUUAACUUUAGAUGCAUUUUUAACUACCGAGCUAGAGGGGGUGUCAGGUGGAGUUGCAUUAGCGGUAAAAUGUAGAUAAUGCCCGGAGGAACACCGAUGGCGAAGGUAGCCACUCCUGGGAUAACACUGACGCUCAUGCACAGAAAGUAGGCAAACGGAUUAGAUACCUGAUGUGAUCACGCCUAACGAUAUGUGGCUGUUGGGCCUUCAGGCCUUGGUAGCCGCAGCUAACGCGUGAAGUUGACCGCCUGGGAGUACGGUCGCAAGGUCAAAACUCAAGGAAUUGACGGGGACCCGCACAAGCGGUGGAUGAUGUGGAUCAUUCGAUGCAACACGAAAAACCUUACCUACCCUUGACAUAUCUGGAAUCCCGAAGAGAUUUGGGAGUGCUCGCAAAGAGGGAGCCGGAACACAGGUACUGCAUAAAGCUGUCUAAUAGCUCGUGUCUGGAUGUUGAUUGAUCCCGCAACGAGCGCAACCCUUGUCGUGGUUGCUGCGAAAGGGCACUCUAAUGAGACUGCCCGGUGACAAACCGGAGGAAAGGUGGGGAUGACGUCGAGUCCUCAUGGCCCUUAUGGGUAGGGCUUCACACGUCAUACAAUGGUCGGGACAGAGGUCGCCAGCCGCCCGCGAGGGGCCAAUCCCAGGAAACGAUCGUAGUCCGGAUCGCAGUCUGCAGCUCGACUGCGUGAAGUCGGAAUCGCUAAUGUCCGCGGAUCAACAUGUCGCGGUGAAUACGUUCCCGGGUCUUGUACACACCGCCAAAUGCACCAUGGGAGUGGGUUUUACCAGAAGUGAUUAGCUAACCGUAAGGGCGAUUACCACGGUAGGAUUCUGGCUAGAGGUGAAGUCGUAACAAGGUAG
rnacentral:rRNA from 1 species